CUUAGGCAUGCAAGUCGAACGAGAAAGUUUCCUUCGGGGAGCGAGUAUAUGGCAAAAGGGUGAGUAAUGAUUAGUUAACCUACCCCUAAAACUGGGAUAACUACCCGAAAGGGUUGCUAAUACCGGAUGGUCUAUGAGAGAUGCAUAUCUUUUAUAGUAAAGGCGCUCGCAAGGGUGUCGAUUAGGGAGGGGAUUAAUUCCCUAUUAGCUAGUUGGUGAGGUAAUGGCUCUACCAAGGCAUUGAUGGGUAACCGAUCUGAGAGGAUGACCGGUCACACUGGGACUGAGACACUGCCCAGACUCCUACGGGAGGCUGCAGUCGCGAAUAUUCCGCAAUGGACGCAAGUCUGACGGAGCGACGCCGCGUGUGGGAUGAAGGCCUUAGGGUUGUAAACCACUGUCACACUUUAAGAAAUCAAUUAGGGUAACUCCUAGUUGUUGACAAAGGAGUGGAAGGAAGUCACGGCUAACUACGUG
rnacentral:rRNA from 1 species